rnacentral:tRNA from 3 species
CGGGGCAUAGCGCAGUCUGGUAGCGCGUCUGGUUUGGGACCAGAAGGUCGCAGGUUCGAAUCCUGCUGCCCCGACCA